rnacentral:misc_RNA from 1 species
CGCGCUCACCUACAUAGGACUGCUUUUCGGUGGUUUAGGAAAGUGCACUCGCACAAACGGUAACGCAAUCUAAUUCAACACCCUCUUCCUCCGCCAGCAUACUCCGCGCCUCCUGCACCCUUCCUCCCUCCAUCUCCGGCUCUGCCCCCCUCCCCCCUUUCCCCCCUCACGAAGGAGGCUCUUCACCAGCAGCAAAAAAAAAGAAAGUAAACUGAAGGCCCGAGAAGGGCAUCACUGUCACCGCUGCCACUCCACUGUCGAAGCCUUCACCACCGCUUCUGCCUCCUCCUUUACGUAGCCGCUUGACUAACCGCCACCACGGCUACUAUUCCGCACUCCCUUCCUCCUCCUUCUUUGUUGUUUGUUUAAACGCCCUUUUGUUGUCUUCCGAACGGACGCACGGGCUCGCUCGAGGAAGCCGCACUCCCCUUCCCCCUUCCUCCACACACACACACACACACACGCUGCUGCCGAAGGGUCCAGAACGGCUUGGACACUGGGAGGCCGAAAAGGCGCCUGCCCGCUGUAUUGGAGCUUCACCUUUCCCUGCGAGUGGGCGAGACACACACGCGAAGAAGCACACACCGUCGCGCAUCCCUCCACCCGGGCCAGAGGUGUACCGCCCGUACGCGGCGCACGUGCUGGUGGGGACCAAAGUUUGCAGAGAGAAGAGGCGGGAGGACACGGCCGACACGUGCUGGAAGCGAAGGGCCCGCUCCGAUAGGAAAACGAACAGAGCGAGAAACACACGGCACAGAAAGGCAAAGGGAGGGCUGCCAGAGAGUGAGUGAGUGAGUGAGUGAGUGAGUGAGUGAGCGAGCGAGCGCGCAUCGCUGCACCGGGAGGCGUGCGCAUCAGCUGUUUGUGUGCUUUUCCCCUCCCCUUUGCUGAGGUGUCCCCUGUCCAGUCCACUGUUCAUCAUCGCUACCGCCACCCCCCUCUCCUCCAGCUCCAGUGAAUCCAACACUCUUCCGUUGGCGUGUUCUUCGUCCUUCUCGCCGUUCUUCCUCCUCGCUGCACUGUCCCGUGCCGCUUUCUGAGAUUCGCCCUGCGCUCUUCACGCCGCGUCUCUCCCGGAAACGAAAACACAAAGAGAGCACGAGGUGCGCGGCGCGGUGACCUCUCCCAGAACGGCAACUUCACGAGAAGAUCCGCGGUGGUGGGUGGGGGCGCGUGUUGUAAGUGUGCGUCUCGGUACCCGUUCUUCGCUAGCUGGUUGUGCGCUGCUCGGCACGUAUCGAAGGUAUACGUUUUGUUUUGUCCGUUUUAGUUCUAUCUCUCGUGUGCGGCACCGUCACCCCCCUCCCCUCCUUGUGGAGAGAAAGAACGAGAGGCAACACGCGUGUGGCCUCCUGUAGGGGUGGCUUUCUCGUCCUCUCCUCUUCCUUCUUUGUGGUCGACUGCCACCCUCUCUCGAUUUUCUGCAGAGGGUGCCGGUGGCGGUGUGAGGGGUUUCGAGUUGGGCUUGCUGUUACUUGUUAUGCGCCUCACUUUCGGUCUCGCGCUCUCUUCGACGCAUCGCUUGCUACCUGAAAACAGAAAAGUCGGAGAAGGAACAGAACGACAAAGAAAAUCUAAACCCCCCAAAGGAGCAAGGGAACGGCGAGUCCUUCGGUUGCUCACCUUAAUCGAGCCACGAGGACCUACCCCCCCCCCCCCCCCCCCCUCACCCUCCACCAGCGUAACGCAUAAACGCCGUCGAUAGUCGGGACGCGCUGCAUUCUCCCCUUACCCCGCCCCCACUCCUUCCCGCGCCCGCUUGUGUCGAAGUGCACACACUCCUGAUAUUG